rnacentral:rRNA from 1 species
UACGAGAGGCCCAAACGUUAUUCGGAAUUACUGGGCUUAAAGAGUUCGUAGGCGGCGCAGAAAGUAGGGUGUGAAAGCCCUCGGCUCAACCGAGGAAUUGCGCUCUAAACUACUGUGCUUGAGGAAGCUAGAGGUGAGCGGAACUGAUGGUGGAGCGGUGAAAUGCGUUGAUAUCAUUAGGAACACCGGAGGCGAAGGCGGCUCACUGGGGCUUUUCUGACGCUGAGGAACGAAAGCCAGGGGAGCGAACGGG